AUAUCAAUAAGCGGAGGAAAAGAAACCAACAGGGAUUGCCUUAGUAACGGCGAGUGAAGCGGCAAAAGCUCAGAUUUGAAAUCUAGCGUCUUAUAGGCGUUCGAGUUGUAAUCUGUAGAGAAGUUAUCGAGUGUGGAUUUGGCUUAAGUUCUUUGGAACAGGACGUCAUAGAGGGUGAGAACCCCGUAUACGGCCUUUGUCUUAUACUCAUGUGAGGCUUCUUCAACGAGUCGAGUUGUUUGGGAAUGCAGCUCUAAAUGGGUGGUAAAUUCCAUCUAAAGCUAAAUACUGGCAAGAGACCGAUAGCGCACAAGUAGAGUGAUCGAAAGAUGAAAAGAACUCUGAACAGAGAGUUAAAUAGUACGUGAAAUUGUUGAAAGGGAAGCACUUGCUACCAGACUCGCUUGCAGUUAAUCAACUAUCCUUCUGGGUGGUGCACUUUUCUGUAGGCGGGCCAGCAUCAGUUGUGUUGGUGGGAUAAAGGCAGUUGGAAUGUGGCUCUCUUCGGAGAGUGUUAUAGACUUCUGUGUAAUACCAUCUAACGCGACUGAGGUCAGCGCUUCGGCGAGGAUGCUGGCAUAAUGGUCGUAAGUGA
rnacentral:rRNA from 1 species